rnacentral:lncRNA from 1 species
CCUUUAUUCUGGGAUUUGAUACCACAUCAUUAAAUUGAUUAUGAUGCCAUCAAAAUCAAGAUUCUAUAAACAAUCAAACCAGAUACAAUAUUAUUCGAAAUGAGGCAUCACAGCAUCAGUACAUGUCAAAUACAUCUAAUUCUGCAACCCUUCGAUUCCUUACAAACAAGAGAGCUCCAGCUCAAUUAUACUUGAUGAAUUCUAAACAGUUCAAAAAAAAAAAAAAAAACCCUACUACAUGUAGCGACCAAGAACUCGACUUUGCAACGACCCUACUAUAUAGAGUAAACCAACGAGACCGGAUAAGAUACUUCACACGGUCUGAGUACCUUAUAGGUCGAGCCUGGCACAUGUAGCGCCACUACCUAAAUAACUAGACAUCCGACAUCUAACUAGCUUUCCCUACAUGCUAUCACUUGUAGAAUCGAAGAACAUGAGCUAAGAAAGAGUACAGCAUUAGCAUACAUGUAGAAUUGAGACUAACCUAAUGGUAUAACAAAGGAACGAGGGUUGCGGUUGUUGGAACGUCAUCAUUCCGAGGCGGUAGAGUCUGUUGGUGUUGCUUUCAAUCUGAGAUAAUGGAGUGAGAGAAGGGUUAUAGAUGCAUGGUAUUGUAUCUGUUGAAUCAGCAACGGUAAGCUCUCAGCUCUUUUUGAUGAAUUUUAUUUCUUAUGCUUACUGCUGAGAGUGGGGUUUCUUUAGCGAAUUACUCUAAGAGCAAACUUAUGGUGAUAAGAUAAUAACUUUAUCUGAGAAUGGAUUGGCUCUUUGCUCGCUCUGCUGCUCUUGAGGUUUGCUAUUUGACUAUAUUUGGAAACGCUCGUGUGCGUGUGUGUUGUUCUUUUUCAUGUGAUGAAUCAUAACUCAAUGCUUAUGAGAUGAGAUUUUCUCGGCUGUGUAUAUAUUAGUUAUAAAUUUAGGUGGAUAUAUCAUAUAUGGGUUAUUCGCCUCUUUGUUAUUGCUGUCGUCGUCGUUGUUAUGGUGGGUUGGCCGUGCUGAUUGACGCGGGUUGAUAUGUGGAACAUCCUCUGUUAAGUUGAUUUUCAAUGUGGUUUUGAGUAGUGAAAAUAUCAUUUAAGAAUAUACAUCUAUCUCAUUUACGACGAACUCACGUUGCAGCUAUAGAACAUAUAUAUAUAACAGGCAGCUAGGAAGGGGCCACCUACAGGUACACUUCGAUGAAGGCCGCCGAGAAUAUGAGGCCGUACUCCCGCUUGCAGACGGCACGGCUCUGAAGAAGGCUGGCGGCGCCAGACAAGCCACGAUGCGAUCCAUCAGAUUCUGCAGUCCAUCCAAGGAUUUGGGUUUGGAUUUGUGGUGCAGAGUAAUGUUGAGGAAGCGAAUGCGUAGGAAAUAGGUAUGCUUAUGGGAGUGUGCUAAUAAUAAAAUUUCGAAUUGCUGCAAAUGUUAGUAUGUUCUAACAAUUGAAUAACUUAGAACAGCAGUAACGUGGAACAUAGUUUUUUUUUUUUUUUUACUUGGGGACAUGGAACAUAGUUUCAGAAGCAAAAAGAUGAUCAAAAAUAAGUUCCGACACUCGGAGUAUUUAAUUUAGCAAAAAGAUGCUUAUGGGAGUGUGGAAAGGCUCCAUGUUUGGAGUUACAAAUUUAAGGAUUUUUGGCAAGGGGAAGAAGCAGAAGAUAGUUUCUGACGAUGAUUGUUUUUGUAUACUGCACACAUAGAUGUGAGCUGCUUAUGUAAUUUAAAGUUUAAAAAACUGUAAUUAGAUUUCAAUAUUUGCAAACCUAAAUAAAAGUAUUGAAAUAAAUAUUUUCUUCAAUUGAAUUUGGUCACAUAAAGUACUUAAUAAUACUUCAAUGUAUUUUAAAUAAAUAGGUAGUUCAAUUUAAUUUGGUCAUAUAAAAUAAAGAAAAUGAUACUAAGAUAUAUGUGUAAUAAAGAAAAUUUUCAAUUUAAUUUUUCAUAUAAAAUAAUUUGAAAUAAAUCUGCAUUUCCACAUUAAUCUCAUAAUGAUAUAUCUAAAUAAAAGGCUUAAUCUUCAUUCAUAUAUUAGCUUAACAUCGUUCCAUAUUAUAUUUUAUCAUUGCGCAUUGAUCUUUAUUGAACUUCACUAUGAAAAAAACAUAAAUAAAAGGAUACUUUUGAGAUAAUUUAAAAUAAAUAGAUUCUUCAAUUAAAUUUGAUCAUGAAAAAUAAUUUCAAAUAAUUAUCAUUCUCGAAUUGAUCUAACACAUGCUCAUAUAUAUUGAAUCUAUAUUAAAUCUCACAAUUCACAAUUAAAAAAAAAUAUUAUUAAACUUUACCAUUUAAAAAUCUAAAUAAAAAAAAUACUUAAACUUUGAAAAAUUAAUAAAUAUAUAUUUAAAUAUAUUUGAAAUAAAUAGGUUCUUAUUGUUUGAAAUUUUAUCGAGAUUAUUAACAAAUUAUUGUUUAACAUUUUAUUUGGUUAUAUACAUAUUUUAUAAAUUUUAAAAAAAUCAAGAAAUUAGUUGAUAUUAUUAUAUGGGUUUAGGACGAGAAUAAGUAUUAAAAUAAUCACAUAUCUAAUAGGAAAUGGAAUACUCCUAUGUGGCAUCACCAUAUUUUUGCACUUUUAUUUAUCCUAAUUCUCUAGACAUUUUCAUAUUUAUUCAUUCUUAUUUAUCAAAAUCUUCUCAUCCCACAUUGAUUUUUUAUGAGAUUUCACCAAAAUAAAAUCUAUAUAAAAGGAUGCUCUUACUCUCCAAACCAAAAACCCACAUUUAAUUGGUGAAGUGAUUGAGAUUAAUACAAUUUGAAUUGCAAUAAAAGUUGAUCGAAUUUAUUUAGUUGAAUAAAAAAUAAUUAAUUUUAUUUUUUAAAAUAAAUACUUGUGAUUAAAUAAAUUAUUUCUCCAUUUUAAUUUGGUCAUAAAAUAAGAUAUUUUGCAUAUUUUUUUUUGGAUUACAGCAUUGAUUUUUUAUGAAAAAUCACCAAAAGAAAUACUAAAUAAAUUAAUAUGAUAUAAUUUGAAUAUCACAUCAAUUUUCUCAAGCCUUAGACGAGAUGAUUCUCACAACUUAGUUAUAGUCUUUCAAACUUCAAAUAAGAUGAUUAUCACGAAUCAGUUUUAUUCUUUCAAACUUCAAACGAAAUGAUGCUUGAAACUCAGUUAUGAUAUUUUAAGCUCUAAAUAAGAUGAUGCACAAGUGGUGAUUUUUUAAGCUCUAUACAAGAUGAUAUUUAGAAGUUAGUUAUAAUCUCACAAGCUUCAGAUUAUAUAAUCUCACAAGUCAGCCCUGGUCUUUCAAGCUCAUAAUGAAAAUGAUGUUUAGAAGUGAAUUAUGAUAUUUAAAGCAUCAGAUAAUGAUGUUCAAACAAUUGACGCAUUCAGGCAUAGUAUUUUAGGGUCUAGACGAGAUAAUGCUCAAAAGUCAGAUAUCGUCUUUCGAGUUCUUGAUGAUCAUGAGAUGAGAUGAUGCUUAGAUGAAAAAUGAGAUCUUAAAUUAAUUCUUAUCCAUCAAUAUAUUAAAAAUGUACAAAAUUUAUAUAAACGGGUAUUUUUACUAUUCUAACAAAAAGUUAACAUUUAAUUGACGAAUAUAAUUAAGAUUAGUAUAAUGUAAAUUCUAUUACAUCAAACUAAAUUAAUUAAAAAUUAAUUAUAUUAUAUAAAAAUAAUAUAAAUAAUUUAAAUUAUAAUUUAAAAUCCCGUCGAAUUUCGACGGGUUAUACACUAGUUCAGCAUAAAUAUUUAAAUCCAACACUUAAGUAAUUAUUCAGAUCUCCCUUUAUUCUGGGAUUUGAUACCACAUCAUUAAAUUGAUUAUGAUGCCAUCAAAAUCAAGAUUCUAUAAACAAUCAAACCAGAUACAAUAUUAUUCGAAAUGAGGCAUCACAGCAUCACUACAUGUCAAAUACAUCUAAUUCUGCAACCCUUCGAUUCCUUACAAACAAGAGAGCUCCAGCUCAAUUAUACUUGAUGAAUUCUAAACAGUUCAAAAAAAAAAAAGCCUACUACAUGUAGCGAUCAAGAACUCGACUUUGCAACGACCCUACUAUAUAGAGUAAACCAACGAGACUGGAUAAGAUACUUCACACGGUUCUGAGUACCUUAUAGGUCGAGCCUGGCACAUGUAGCGCCACUACCUAAAUAACUAGACAUCCGACAUCUAACUAGCUUUCCCUAC